rnacentral:rRNA from 1 species
CCUACGGGAGGCUGCAGUGAGGAAUAUUGGUCAAUGGGCGCAAGCCUGAACCAGCCAUCCCGCGUGAAGGAUGACGGCCCUAUGGGUUGUAAACUUCUUUUCUGUACCAAGAAACAAUCCCUCGAGAGGGGUCUUGACGGUAGUACAGGAAUAAGGACCGGCUAACUCCGUGCCAGCAGCCGCGGUAAUACGGAGGGUCCAAGCGUUAUCCGGAUUUAUUGGGUUUAAAGGGUGCGUAGGCGGAUUUGUAAGUCAGUGGUGAAAUCCUGCAGCUUAACUGUAGAACUGCCAUUGAUACUGCUAAUCUUGAGUAUAGUUGAGGUAGGCGGAAUGAGUAGUGUAGCGGUGAAAUGCUUAGAUAUUACUCAGAACACCGAUUGCGAAGGCAGCUUGCCAAACUAUGACUGACGCUGAUGCACGAAAGCGUGGGGAUCGAACAGGAUUAGAUACCCCAGUAGUC